GCCCUGCAGGACUGUGCCGGAGCGGCUCCCCAGGAGCGGCUGCUACAGCGCUCAGGUGAGUUUCUUAAUAGCCUCAGAAUAUGAGUCUUUAGUAGCUGUUGUGAUGUUUCUCCUAAUUUGUGUAUUAUGUUUUGUUGUGGGGUCUUGAUGCACUGGGUUUUUUGCACGCUGGUGUGGUUUUUGGUGCUUGCACUUCUCCCUUUGUAUUGUUUGGUUUAUUUAUUUAUUGCUGCUAUUUUACUCUGACUGUUUUUCCUGUUUUCUUUCUUUCCAGGAUAUCUUGUUCUCUCUGGCAGUACGGCGUUCUUCAGUUUGUCAGGUGAAGCGGGAGUGUUGUCUGUUGGUUUGUAGUUUCAACAGGUGGUUGUUCAGAAGUGUGGCGUUUCUGUGCGGGUUAAGAAGCCCACUGUGAAGUUUGCAGCUCUUCAAGUAUGUGGGAAGAAACAGAAAGGUUAGUGUCCUUGAGAGGCUUGAAUGCUUACUUUGAGUUGAAGUCAUCCAAAGUUGAGUUGGGUCAUCCAAAGAGGUAAGUGCAUUGUCUGUAGUUGAGUUUUUUCCUGUUGGGUAGUGUGGCCUUGUUAAGCAUUUCCUGGAAUAUUUGUUGUGUUUUGGGGUUGUUUACAGGUUUGGGUCUUUU
rnacentral:lncRNA from 7 species